AAAAGCUGCAGGCGAGGAACUCUAGACCCGUGAGCAACUCUGACAACAGGAGACAAAACUGCCUGAACAGCAGCACUGCAGUGACUCUUGGCAACAGCAUCCUGCUACCUACUCUUCCUUUGGAGCCACAUCCAAGUGAUACUACUGGGUUAAAUGAAGAUUAGGAGGAGUGAAAAGCAAUGCAGGCCGUGUGCUGGAAAGUUCUGGAAGGAGGUCCCUGAAGGAUGGCUCAGUGUUGACAUCCAGACAAAUUUAAAGAUUACAUCAGUCAAUGGACAUGUUCUUAGCUGCUUUGUAUCCCACGCUCUGAAGUCCAAUCUGGAGUGCAGCCCCUUGUCUCUACCUGUUGGAGUGCAGCACUGCCAGCGCUGGGAUCAUGUUUUCAUCACGUCCAUGAAAACAACAUCACACAGAGGGGAUUUGCUGAGUAACAACAACCCAUUUCUGUCCUCAUAACAAGGACUAUGUCUGCAUGUGGAUAUUUUUUAUUGGUUGCAGCAGUUAUAUUUUUAUUAGCGCUGCGACUUUUUAACAGUAAUGGCAAGAUUUUAUAACUCUUCUGAGCCAGAUCAGUAACUGCUGCCCCUGAAGAGCAGCCCUUACUUUACCCUCUUCCUUCUCUACUUCCAUAUUCCUCUGCCCCCGCUCAAUUCUCCUUACUUUUCAUGUCUUUUCCCACUGAUACAAAGCCAUACCCUCAGAACUUCAUCCCAGUAAUGUUUUUCCCACCAGCAAAGCCAGUCUGAGAGGUUCUUCCUUUUCUUAUUCCUUUACCUGUUCCCACUCUCUGCUAUGCUUCUCCUACUUCUUUCCCAGAUGUACUUAUACAACAAUUUGUACAGUUAUGUUGCCAACCACAUUGUUGAAAUCAUCCAAAUCCCACUUUAGAAGUAGUAGUGGUUUUUUGUUUUUGUUUUUAAUUCCUCUAUAUCCUUCCGGUAGUUGUGAUCAGAGCACAGCCCAACUCAGUCCCACAGUCCCUCCAGUCAGCACAGCUGAGGGCACUAAACUGCAGUGGUGAGCCAGUUGAGUUUGCAAAGAAGGGAACCAAGCAUGCCGGUAUAGGGUACUAAUGAGGUCUUUUGCCUAAAGAAGCUGUGGUGCCCCAUCCCUGGAGGUGCUGAAGGCCAGGUUGGAUGGGGCCCUGGGCAGCUGACCUGGCGGGGGCAGCCCUGCCCACAGUGGGUGGGUUGGAGCUUUUAAUCUUUAAAUUCCUUUCCAUAUGAAGCCAUUCUGUGAUUCUAUGACUCUCUUUCACACGGCUUCACUAUUAGAGGAGAUGAAUGUCUUAAGUUUGUUUCUAGUAAAGACUGCAGAGAAUGCAAACUGAUAAUUUUCAGCAAGGGAUGAACUAGAAAUUCAAACCACUGUAAGUAUGAGUCUCUACAGUGACAAACAAAAGGCUAAGAGCUUCAAGGUGGCAGCUGUGUUUUCAGCUUUGAUCAUAGAAACUGAGAGUUGGUGCCAGUUGGGAACCAUAAAGCCUUUCCUGGGAUCAACGAAGAAACAAUUUUGCUGUAGGAACUUGUGGGUCUUAUUUGUUAGACCUGACUGAUCUGCGCUAUGUCUAUUACCUGCAGGUAUAACGAAGAACACUUUCUAGGUUUGAAAUGAAAAAGUGUUCAUCAUCAUAAUUGUGGCUGCUUGGUAUCAGUCCGUGUUAAAUACAGUAUGAUAUUCUUCAAAGUCCAGACUUCAGAAAUCUUCAAACCUACAACCUUUUAAUAGUUCUUUGUCUAGUGUUACGUGCACCCUCAAUCAACAGCACAUAAAGAACUCCAUCAUGCUGUAAUUUAUGUGCUUGUGUAAACUACAACUGCCAGUUUAGAUGUUUGUAUGAGAUACAGAUUUUUGUUUGUAAAGAAUAUAUAAGCUGAGAACUGAAUUGUUUGAACACCAGGCAGAAGGGAACAUUGUCUCCUCAGUGGGUUAAUGACUUGUUUAUACCAAACAUAGAAAGAGUUCUCAGGAAGUUUCUGCUCAUGAGGUGAUGACUCCACCUUGCUACCUGAUAGCAGCAUUAGUAAGUCUCAAGUCAAAUACUGGAGAAAGUCAGUAAUGCUUCAGAAGUGUCAAAAUUAUCACUCUGAUUAAAUUGCAUAUCACAGGUAUCUGUGAUGGGGGUAAAGGCUUGGGUCUGAAUAUUGCUUCAAUGAUAAUCUGAG
ensembl:lncRNA